rnacentral:sRNA from 1 species
GGACACAGGAGCAGCUGCUGGAGCUGGG